ACAAUGGAGAGUGCUAGUGUGGUGUCACAUGGUGCAACAUGGCUCAGUGUUGUGUGAAACUAAGAGUCCCUGGUUUCUAGUACGGUGCCUGACAGAUAGAUGACUUUCUUUAUAUGUUGCUGAAGACAGGCAGAGAGGAAGAAAGGAAGAGAGGAUAAAGGGAGGAAUAAACUUGAUAUAAGCAUCUUUGCAUAAUUAACAACUGGGUCAAAUUUUCUUCAUUUCAUUGAGAUUCUUGAUACAAGCCUCUGCUGAUGAAUUGGAUUCCAAAAAGCAGAUAUUGUUGUCCAGGCCACACCAUACGGGACUUACCACUCCCAGUUGCUAACAUCUGCACGUAUUUGCCUGGAGGUCUCCUCUGGUCACCAGAUCCUACUCUGCCUGGGCCACAUGACAAGGUGAUGUGCUGAGGAACAAAAGCCCCCAGGAGUAUCCCUCAAGCAGUGUUGGACUGGAGUUGAGGUAUAUAUGCCCUAGCCUCCCAACCCUGGGCUGAGAUUCCCAAACAACUGGGUUCCCUGGCAGGACCCAGCCCCACAUACCCAAAACACUAAACUGCUUAAUGAUGGACACUUCCCAUCCUGUCUCCCCUUCCCCAUUUCCCUACCCGUGUUUCCUGGGACCACCUCCAAAACUAAGAAUUUCCCCAAGCUGUUCCUUGAAGAACCCAAACUAAGAUUGCUAAAGCACUAAGCUGGAAGUGACUCAAAACCAAAAAGCCUAACAUAAGCUUUUGUCUUCUUUAAGAAUUCA
rnacentral:lncRNA from 1 species